ensembl:lncRNA
CUCUAUUUUAUUUUACUUUAUUUUUCUUUAUUUUUUUAAUUUCUUUUAUUUUAUUUUUCUCUUAUUUUAUUUUAUUUUACUUUAUUUUUCUUUAUUUUAUUUUUUUAAUUUCAUUUAAUUCCAUUCCAUUUCAUUUCAUUUCACUUCAUUUAUUUCAUUUAUUCCAUUUCACUUCACCCUUUUCCCCCAACACCUUUUCAGUGUCCUCCCCUUUAUUUCCCCCUCUCCUUUUUCCCUUUUUCCUCCCCAAAUCCCUCAGCUUUGGGGAGGGUUCCUGGAAUUAUUUCUGUUUAUUUUGGGGUGUUUCUGACCCAGGUUCCUGGAAUUGUUUCCCAUUUUUUGGGGUGUUUCUGACCCGAGUUCUUGGAAUUAUUUCUGUUUAUUUUGGGGUGUUUCUGACCCAUGUUCCUGGAAUUAUUUCUGUUUAUUUUGGGGUGUUUCUGACCCGGGUUCCUGGAAUUGUUUCCCAUUUUUUGGGGUGUUUCUGACCCGUGUUCAAGGAAUUAUUUCUGUUUAUUUUGGGGUGUUUCUGACCCGGGUUCAAAGAACUGUUUCCCAUUUUUUGAGGUGUUUCUGACCCAUGUUCCUGGAAUUAUUUCUGUUUAUUUUGGGGUGUAUCUGACCUGAGUUCCUGGAAUUAUUUCUGUUUAUUUUGGGGUGUUUCUGACCCGGGUUCCUGGAAUUGUUUCCCAUUUUUUGGGGUGUUUCUGACCUGGGUUCAAGGAAUUAUUUCUGUUUAUUUGGGGUGUUUCUGACCUGGGUUCAAGGAAUUAUUUCUGUUUAUUUUGGGGUGUUUCUGACCCGGGUUCCUGGAAUUAUUUCUGUUUAUUUUGGGGUGUAUCUGACCUGGGUUCCUGGAAUUAUUUCUGUUUAUUUUGGGGUGUUUCUGACCCGGGUUCCUGGAAUUGUUUCCCAUUUUUGGGGUGUUUCUGACCCGUGUCCCCCCAGGAGUCGGGGCUCAAGGUUCACCAGCCGGCCUCGUUCGCCGUCAGCCUCAACGGCGCCCGCGGAGCGCUGGACGCCAAAGUUCACAGUCCCUCGGGGGCCCUGGAGGAAUGUCACAUCUCCGAGGUCACCCCAGGUGAGGGACACCCCCAAAACGCCCCCAAAAACAUCCCCGAGGUGCUGGGGAAAAGCGGGAAGAGAAAAAACGGGAAAUUCCAGAGCAAAACUGGGAAAUUCCAACGUGAAAUCGGGAAAUUCCAGACCAAAAUCCCCAAAUUUCUCCCUAAAAUCUGCAAAUUCCAACCCGAAAUUGGGAAAUUUCAACCCAAAACUGGGAAAUUCUGGCUUGAAAUUGGGAAAUUCCACCCCAAAAUCCCCAAAUUCCACCCUGAAAUCGGCGAAUUCCAACCCAAAAUCUCAAAAAAUUUCUCUCUAAAAUCGGCAAAUUCCAACCCAAAAUUGGGAAAUUCUGGCUUGAAAUGGGGAAAUUCCACCCUGAAAUCCCCAAAAAUUCUCCUCUAAAAUCUGCAAAUUCCAUCACGAAAUCGGGAAAUUCCAACCCAAAAUCCAUGAUCUCCUCCCCAGAAUCAAAAGAAAUUCCUCCCUAAAAUCUGCAAAUUCCACUCCAAAAUCAACAAAUUCCUCCCCAAAAUCUUCCCCAUUCCCAUAAAAACGGGUUUUCAGGGAUGAUUUUGGGUUUCAGGGAUGAUUUUGGGAUCCCCCUUUCCCCGUUUUCCCCAGACAAAAACAACCGUGCGCUUCAUCCCGCGGGAAUUUGGGAUUUGGGGAUGGUUCGGUUCCGGAUUUUGGGAUUUCAGGGAUAAUUUUGGGAUUUCAGGGAUAAUUUUGAGAUUUCAGGGAUAAUUUGGGAUCCCCCUUUCCCCGUUUUUCCCAGAUAAAUACGCCGUGCGCUUCAUCCCGCGGGAGAACGGCGUCUACUCCAUCGACGUGAAGUUCGAGGGCUCCCACAUCCCCGGGAGCCCCUUCAAGGUCCGGGUGGGAGAGCCAGGACAGGCCGGGGAUCCGGGCCUGGUCUCGGCCUAUGGGCCCGGCCUGGAGGGCGGCACCACAGGUAUGGAAUUCUGAGGGGAAAAACCGGGAAUUUGAGGGAAAAACAGGAAUUUUGGGGAUGAGAAAGUGUGGGGGCGUGCCACAGGUACGGAAUUUGGGGGAAAAAAUGGGAAUUUGGGAGGGAAAAAAUAGGAAUUUGAGGAUCUGGGCCUGGUCUCGGCCUACAGGCCCAGCAUGGUGGGUGGUGCCACAGGUACGGAAUUCUGAGGGAAAACUCAGGAAUUUUGGGGGGGUGGGUGGUGCCACAGGUACGGAAUUCUGAGGGAAAACUCAGGAAUUUUGGGGGGAAAAUUGGGAAUUUGGGAGGUUAGGAGGCUGGAAGAAACUACAGGUACCAGGAAUGUAGGGAAAAAUUGGAAUUAGGG